GUGUCAGCCGCCGCGGUAAUACGGAGGGUGCAAGCGUUAUCCGGAUUCACUGGGUUUAAAGGGUGCGUAGGCGGGUAUUUAAGUCAGUGGUGAAAUCCUAGAGCUUAACUCUAGAACUGCCAUUGAUACUAUUUAUCUUGAAUAUUGUAGAGGUAAGCGGAAUAUGUUAUGUAGCGGUGAAAUGCUUAGAUAUGACAUAGAACACCUAUUGCGAAGGCAGCUUACUACGCAUAUAUUGACACUGAGGUGCGAAAGCGUGGGGAGCAAACAGGAUUAGAUACCCUAGUAGUCC
rnacentral:rRNA from 1 species